rnacentral:rRNA from 1 species
UGGGGAAUAUUGCACAAUGGGCGCAAGCCUGAUGCAGCCAUGCCGCGUGUAUGAAGAAGGCCUUCGGGUUGUAAAGUACUUUCAGCGGGGAGGAAGGUGUUGUGGUUAAUAACCACAGCAAUUGACGUUACCCGCAGAAGAAGCACCGGCUAACUCCGUGCCAGCAGCCGCGGUAAUACGGAGGGUGCAAGCGUUAAGCGGAAUUACUGGGCGUAAAGCGCACGCAGGCGGUCUGUCAAGUCGGAUGUGAAAUCCCCGGGCUCAACCUGGGAACUGCAUCCGAAACUGGCAGGCUUGAGUCUUGUAGAGGGGGGUAGAAUUCCAGGUGUAGCGGUGAAAUGCGUAGAGAUCUGGAGGAAUACCGGUGGCGAAGGCGGCCCCCUGGACAAAGACUGACGCUCAGGUGCGAAAGCGUGGGGAGCAAACA